GUGGGGAAUAUUGCGCAAUGGGGGAAACCCUGACGCAGCAACGCCGCGUGAGUGAUGAAGGUCUUCGGAUUGUAAAGCUCUGUCUUUGGGGACGAUAAUGACGGUACCCAAGGAGGAAGCCACGGCUAACUACGUGCCAGCAGCCGCGGUAAUACGUAGGUGGCAAGCGUUGUCCGGAUUUACUGGGCGUAAAGAGUAUGUAGGCGGAUAUUUAAGUCAGAUGUGAAAUUCCCGGGCUUAACCUGGGCGCUGCAUUUGAAACUGGAUAUCUAGAGUGCGGGAGAGGAAAGUGGAAUUCCUAGUGUAGCGGUGAAAUGCGUAGAGAUUAGGAAGAACACCAGUGGCGAAGGCGACUUUCUGGACCGUAACUGACGCUGAGAUACGAAAGCGUGGGGAGCAAACAGGAUUAGAUACCCUGGUAGUCC
rnacentral:rRNA from 1 species